UAUUCCGAUGCAAAACCCUACCCUUCCUUUCCCAUUCUCAUUUGCAGCUCAUUCUGUCGCUCGCCAGCUCGGGGUGAGUCAUGUAUCUCUACAAUCUUACUCUCCAGCGACCUACUGGCAUAGUGUGCGCCAUUAAUGGGAGCUUCUCUGGUGGCAAAACCCAAGAAAUUGUUGUUGCUCGAGGCAAAGUUCUCGAUCUUCUCCGCCCAGACGAUAAUGGUAGGAUCCAAUCUUUACUCUCUGUUGAAAUUUUCGGUGCUAUAAGAUCUUUAGCUCAAUUUAGGCUUACUGGGGCUCAGAAGGACUAUAUCGUUGUGGGCUCUGACUCUGGUAGAAUUGUAAUUCUUGAGUACAAUAAGGAGAAAAACGUUUUUGAUAAAAUCCAUCAGGAGACUUUUGGUAAAUCUGGUUGCCGUCGUAUUGUUCCAGGACAAUACUUGGCCAUAGAUCCCAAGGGUAGGGCGGUUAUGAUUGGGGCUUGUGAGAAACAAAAACUUGUUUAUGUGUUAAAUAGGGAUACUGCAGCGAGGUUGACAAUAUCCUCUCCUUUAGAAGCGCAUAAGUCUCAUACUUUGGUGUACUCUAUUUGUGGAGUUGACUGCGGGUUUGAGAACCCAAUGUUUGCCUCUAUUGAAUUGGAUUACUCAGAGGCUGAUCAGGAUUCAACAGGUCAGGCAGCUAGCGAGGCUCAGAAGCAUUUAACAUUUUAUGAACUUGAUUUGGGGCUGAACCAUGUGUCUAGGAAGUGGUCAGAACAGGUUGAUAAUGGUGCAAAUCUACUUGUCACUGUUCCUGGGGGUGGGGAUGGGCCUAGUGGUGUGCUGGUUUGUGCAGAAAAUUUUGUUAUCUACAAAAAUCAGGGACACCCAGAUGUCCGGGCUGUGAUUCCAAGACGAGCAGACUUGCCUGCUGAGCGUGGUGUUCUUAUAGUUUCAGCAGCUAUGCAUAAGUUGAAAUCCAUGUUCUUCUUCCUUGUGCAGACAGAAUAUGGAGAUAUUUUUAAGGUUACUCUGGAACAUGAUGGUGACCGUGUCUCAGAAUUGAAAAUUAAGUAUUUUGACACUAUUCCAGUUACUGCAUCAAUGUGUGUGUUGAAAUCAGGAUUCCUAUUUGCAGCCUCAGAGUUUGGAAAUCAUGCUUUAUAUCAGUUUAAGGCAAUAGGGGAUGAUGCUGAUGUUGAAGCUUCAUCAGCAACACUAAUGGAAACUGAUGAAGGCUUUCAGCCAGUGUAUUUCCAGCCCAGAAGACUGAAGAACCUUGUUAGGAUUGAUCAGGUUGAGAGUUUGAUGCCAAUAAUGGAUAUGAAGGUCACAAAUCUCUUUGAAGAAGAAACUCCUCAAAUAUUUACACUGUGUGGGCGUGGUCCUCGUUCAUCUUUGAGGAUUUUGAGAACUGGAUUGGCAGUCAGUGAGAUGGCAGUGUCAAAGCUUCCUGGUAUACCUAGUGCCGUCUGGACUGUGAAAAAGAAUGUAAAUGAUGAGUUUGAUGCAUAUAUUGUUGUGUCAUUCACAAAUGCAACACUUGUUCUUUCCAUUGGUGAGACAGUUGAAGAAGUUAGUGACAGUGGAUUUCUUGAUACCACACCUUCUCUUGCUGUUUCCUUGAUAGGUGAUGAUUCUCUCAUGCAGGUUCACCCUAAUGGCAUUAGACAUAUCAGGGAGGAUGGACGUAUCAAUGAGUGGAGAACUCCUGGAAAGAGGACAAUUGCAAAAGUUGGUUCAAAUAGACUUCAAGUAGUCAUUGCCCUGAGUGGAGGUGAACUGAUUUACUUUGAGGUGGAUGUCACUGGUCAGUUGAUGGAGGUGGAGAAGCAUGAAAUGUCUGGAGAUGUUGCAUGUCUGGAUAUUGCAGCAGUACCAGAAGGCAGACAAAGAUCUCGUUUUCUUGCUGUCGGUUCAUAUGAUAAGACAAUCCGUAUCUUAUCUUUGGAUCCUGAUGACUGUAUGCAGAUUCUUAGUGUGCAAAGUGUUUCUUCAGCCCCAGAAUCUCUUCUGUUUCUUGAAGUCCAGGCAUCCACUGGUGGUGAGGAUGGUGCAGAUCAUCCUGCUAGCCUUUUCCUGAAUGCUGGUCUACAGAAUGGUGUCUUGUUUAGAACUGUUGUGGAUAUGGUUACUGGUCAGCUUUCUGAUUCUCGUUCUCGAUUCUUGGGAUUGAGAGCCCCAAAGCUAUUUCCCAUCAUUGUAAGAGGCAAGCGUGCAAUGCUUUGCUUGUCAAGUCGACCCUGGCUUGGUUACAUCCACCAAGGACAUUUUCUUUUAACCCCCCUUUCAUAUGAAACCCUUGAGUAUGCAGCAUCAUUUUCAUCUGAUCAAUGUGUGGAAGGUGUAGUUGCUGUGGCUGGCGAGGCAUUGAGGAUUUUUACAAUUGAAAGGCUUGGGGAAACUUUUAAUGAGACAGUAAUUCCACUACGUUACACGCCAAGAAAGUUUGUGCUGCAACCCAAAAAAAGGCUUUUGGUUAUGAUUGAGAGUGAUCAAGGAGCCUUCACAGCUGAAGAGCGAGAAGCUGCAAGAAAAGAAUGUUUUGAGGCUGUUGGAGCGGGGGAAAAUGAAAAUGGUAAUGUAGCCCAAAUGGAGAAUGGUGGUGAGGAUGAAGAUAAAGAUGAUCCACUCUCUGAUGAGCAUUAUGGUUAUCCGAAAGCUGAAUCAGAGAAAUGGGCUUCCUGCAUCAGAGUUCUUGAUCCGAGAUCUGGAAAUACUACUUGUCUCUUGGAGCUUCAGGAUAAUGAAGCUGCAUUCAGUGUGUGCACAGUGAAUUUCCAUGAUAAGGAGCAUGGAACUCUUCUAGCUGUUGGUACAGCAAAGGGACUGCAGUUUUGGCCCAAAAGAAGUUUCGUUGCUGGAUUUAUUCAUAUUUAUAGAUUUGUAGAAGAUGGAAGAUCCCUUGAACUUCUGCACAAAACUCAGGUUGAAGGCGUCCCACUUGCUUUAUGCCAAUUUCAAGGAAGAUUGCUUGCAGGAAUAGGGCCGGUGCUCAGGCUAUAUGAUUUGGGGAAAAGACGACUGUUAAGGAAAUGUGAGAAUAAACUAUUCCCCAAUACAAUUGUCUCCAUCCAUGCAUAUCGUGAUCGCAUUUAUGUUGGUGACAUCCAAGAGUCUUUCCAUUACUGCAAGUAUAGGCGGGAUGAGAAUCAACUCUAUAUAUUUGCGGAUGAUUGUGUUCCAAGAUGGCUUACUGCAUCAUACCAUGUAGAUUUUGACACCAUGGCAGGUGCAGACAAAUUUGGGAACAUUUAUUUUGUCCGCUUACCACAAGAUGUUUCUGAUGAGAUAGAGGAAGAUCCUACUGGUGGGAGGAUUAAGUGGGAGCAGGGAAAGCUGAAUGGAGCUCCCAAUAAGGUGGAAGAAAUUGUACAAUUUCAUGUUGGUGAUGUGGUUACAUGCUUGCAGAAAGCAUCUCUUAUACCAGGGGGUGGAGAGAGCAUCAUAUAUGGAACAGUUAUGGGAAGUGUAGGGGCAUUGCAUGCUUUUACUUCCCGUGAUGAUGUUGAUUUCUUUUCUCAUUUGGAGAUGCACAUGAGGCAGGAUCAUCCGCCUUUGUGCGGUAGAGACCACAUGGCUUAUAGAUCUGCCUAUUUUCCUGUUAAGGAUGUGAUUGAUGGAGAUCUGUGUGAGCAAUUCCCGACAUUGCCCAUGGACUUGCAAAGAAAAAUUGCUGAUGAAUUAGACAGAACCCCCGGAGAGAUUCUGAAGAAGCUCGAGGAAGUACGGAACAAAAUUAUUUGAAAGAUUAUUGGCCAAAAGCCUCUUGCUGGAUGAAAGCAAUUAUGAGGAACCUUUCGAAAUAAAAUGGAGGGAUGGUCAGAACUGGGAGUAAAAAAAUGGAGGGGAUUUACAAAGUAAAAGCUAGUCUUGUCUUUUCCUUGCAUUACCAUGCGUGAUGAUACAAAGCUGUUAUUGCAUCUGCGGUGUUAUUCGGCUUGCUUCUUACAAAUCUGCUGCGCUCAGAAUGGAUAAAUCGACAGCUUGUCUGUCAAUUGUAAUGUUGAUCCGGUCAUAGUAGAACUAUGUCUGUUGGGCGUUGCCUGUAGUUUAGCCACUAACAAUGUGAAGAAGCUUGUGGAUUGUCGGUCAUAGGUGGAUCAAUGAUUUCUUGUCCUGUCUAAAGUUAGUUGCUGAAGAGAGAGAGCUGAAAGAAGUUGAGCAUUGUUUAUGAGCCCCAGUUGGCAUUCCUGUUGUACUUAACAAAUUAAAUGUCGAUACUAGGUUAAUGUGAUGAUGCCUAUUAAGAUUUUCAACCCCUAGAAAACAAGAUCUUUAUUCCCAUGUGUUUCGUCGAAGUGUAUAUGGACGGAGUUAUUGUUAAAAGAAGUUUCCUAAGGGUAAAUGGCU